rnacentral:rRNA from 1 species
UGAGGAAUAUUGGUCAAUGGACGAGAGUCUGAACCAGCCAAGUAGCGUGCAGGAUGACGGCCCUAUGGGUUGUAAACUGCUUUUGUUUGGGAAUAAUCGACAUUACGUGUAAUGUUUUGCAUGUACCAUUCGAAUAAGGACCGGCUAAUUCCGUGCCAGCAGCCGCGGUAAUACGGAAGGUCCAGGCGUUAUCCGGAUUUAUUGGGUUUAAAGGGAGUGUAGGCGGUUGGUUAAGCGUGUUGUGAAAUGUAGAUGCUCAACAUCUGACUUGCAGCGCGAACUGGCUGACUUGAGUGCGCACAACGUAGGCGGAAUUCAUGGUGUAGCGGUGAAAUGCUUAGAUAUCAUGACGAACUCCGAUUGCGAAGGCAGCUUACGGGAGCGCAACUGACGCUAAAGCUCGAAGGUGCGGGUAUCGAACAGG